AGUGAACGCUGGCGGUAGGCCUAACACAUGCAAGUCGAACGGCAGCACAGUAAGAGCUUGCUCUUACGGGUGGCGAGUGGCGGACGGGUGAGGAAUACAUCUGAAUCUACUUUUUCGUGGGGGAUAACGUAGGGAAACUUACGCUAAUACCGCAUACGACCUACGGGUGAAAGCAGGGGAUCUUCGGACCUUGCGCGAUUGAAUGAGCCGAUGUCGGAUUAGCUAGUUGGCGGGGUAAAGGCCCACCAAGGCGACGAUCCGUAGCUGGUCUGAGAGGAUGACCAGCCACACUGGAACUGAGACACGGUCCAUACUCCUACGGGAGGCAGCAGUGGGGAAUAUUGGACAAUGGGCGCAAGCCUGAUCCAGCCAUACCGCGUGGGUGAAGAAGGCCUUCGGGUUGUAAAGCCCUUUUGUUGGGAAAGAAAAGCAGCAGGUUAAUACCCCGCUGUUCUGACGGUACCCAAAGAAUAAGCACCGGCUAACUUCGUG
rnacentral:rRNA from 1 species